AACGUAGGACGCAAGCGUUAUCCGGAGUUACUGGGCGUAAAGCGCGGGCAGGCGGUCGCUUAAGUCUGAUGUGAAAUCUCCCGGCUCAACCGGGAGCAGCCAUUGGAAACUAGGCGACUGGAGUCUGGCAGAGGUAGGCGGAAUUCCGGGUGGAGUGGUGAAAUGCGUAGAGAUCCGGAGGAACACCAGAGGCGAAGGUGGCCUACUGGGCCAGUACUGACGCUGAUGUGCGAAAGCGUGGGGAGCAAACAGG
rnacentral:rRNA from 1 species